ensembl:lncRNA
CCCGCGCAGCUGCCCCGGCCCUGAUUGAAAGUUGAUAAAUGGCUCCCUGUUUCACUCUACCAAAGUUACUGCAAUCGAACUGGCAAAUAUUUACCUUGGAAUCCGAGUGACUGAAAAUAUUUGGUUGGAGCCAGAUGCGUCGCGUGUCUGUCCCUGAAAUAUUAGCUAAAGGAGUGAUUUAGGAAAAUAAAAUGGUGGGUGGGGUGCCUGCCUGCCAGAGCUGUUUGCUUUCCUCCGGCUCCUGCGGAGCGAGUGGAGCUUCUAACAAUUCCCGUGAACAGCUGGGAAGCAGGCCAGACUGGGAGAGAGAAAGAGUCUGUUUUGGUUCGGGGUGUAUAGUUUUACAUAAAUCAGAGAUGUGGAAAUAUACAUCUUCCUUAAAGGCUCUUAGUAAUACUCUCAAAACGAUUGACCCUGGAGAAAUAAAACUGUGAAGUGGUUUUGUUACGUCCUUAGUUCUAGAGCUCAUCUAAAAUAAGGGCACAGUUUCUUGAGAACUGACAACUCUUCUCAGAAAUUCUGCUGUUCUCUGAGCGACUUGUCUGUCCUGAAGUGUGGGCGAACCAAUUCAGAUGGCUUAAUGUUGAACAAGGUGGUCACUGCGUGUCUGGCACUGUGGUCAGCUCUUUUGGCCCACUGUCUAGCAAUUCUCAAAACCAGCGCAAACCGGGGAUGAGUUAUCAUUAGCUAGCUCCAUUUUACAGAUGAGAAUCAGCUUCAGAAGCGUUGCCUGACUGAUCCAAGAGCUGGGAUUGGAACCCAGACAGUCUGACUCUCUCAGCUCUUUGCCUCCCCUUGAGAACGGCGGUUGUGAGGUGCGUCUCUGGCCUGCAGUUCCACGUGUGAGGGGAAUGAGACUCAUGCUGCUGUUUAGGAGGCUUUGUGUCUGUGGCCAAAGUUCACAGAGCCUAAAUUAUCGCUGCAGGUUGUCUAUACUUGGAAUGGAAAAAAAGUAUCUGACUAUCCCUGAGGCUGGCAGAUAUGCAGUCAAACCGCACUCCUUUGACGACGUGCUAAACAAGGUCACACCCAAUCAACUGAAGACCAAACCAAUUGAAUAGAGCCAAAAGCCUCAGAGGGAACUUUGCCCACCUGCCUGAUGAGCUGGAACGUUGGUCUUCUCUCGCCCUUGGACUAGAACUUACACCAUUAGCUCUCCUGGUUCUCAGGCUUUUGGAAUCAGAUUGGAACUACACCAGAGCCUCUCUUUCCUGGGUCUCCAGCUUACUGACUGCUGAUCUUAGGACUUCUCAGCCUCCAUAAUCAAGUGAACCAAUUCCUUACACUAAAUCUCUUGUAAAUAAUAAGAUGUAUAUAUCUCUCUCUAUAUAUACAUCUUACUGGUUCUCUUUCUCUAGGGGAAACAUGACUAAUACAGAGACUACAUGUCAGACCUCCUGGCUCCCAAUUCAAUGCCGUUUUUCGCUGAACUAUUCUGUUUCUCCAGGCUAAUAGAAAGGAGAUUUCCUAGGGAACUUCAAACCCACUUCCCAUACCUAAAACCUCCCAGUCUUGGACCAACAGUGACCAGUGAAAAAUGAGUCUCCAUGUAGAUACCAGGAGAUCGUUAGUGAUACACAAAGUGUAAGUUUGUGGGUGCCCUGGGAUCA